UACAGAGGGUGCAAGCGUUGUUCGGAAUUACUGGGCGUAAAGCGCGUGUAGGCGGUUGCCCAAGUCGGGUGUGAAAGCCUUGAGCUACAACCUCAAGAAAAUGCACUCGGUACUGGGUGACUAGAGGACCGAAGAGGAUAGUGGGAAUUCCCAGUGAUAGUGGUGAAAUACGUAAGAGAUUGGGAAGAACACCAGUGGCGAAGGCGGCUGAUCUGGAACGGUUCCUGACGCUAAGACGCGAAAGCGUGGGGAGCAACAGG
rnacentral:rRNA from 1 species